rnacentral:rRNA from 1 species
AUGAACCUUCCCCUAGCAAUCAAGGAAGUAGCCAGAACAAGAAAAACAUGCAUAGCCUGUGACAGUCUAUCUUGUCAAACUGAAAGGACAUGGGCAGAGAGAAGAAAGAACACCCCAAAGAGUAAGAUGAUGCCUUUUAUCCGGAGGGAUACAGGGUUCAGAGCCCCUAUACCAUACCAUCUCAAUUCAGAAGUCAGAACACCCCAAAUCGAGAACCUCAGAUACUCCAAAAACGGAAAUCCCCUCCUCGAUCCUAGCCCCCGCAAAAACCUGAAAUUCUCCCGGUGGCUGACUAGAACAGAUCUGGCCGCGGCCGUUCCCAUCAGUAAAAGUCCCACCGGAGAAACAAAUGGCGGCAGACAUGAAAUCCACCAAAUCAAUCGACACGCGAGAAGAGAGGACGAAGGAAUUGGGACCAGCGACGGCUCGUUCCUUCCUCGGAGCCCCCGAAAGCCGUGA